rnacentral:rRNA from 1 species
GAUGAACGCUGGCGGCGUGCCUAAUACAUGCAAGUCGAGCGAACAGACCAGGAGCUUGCUCCUCUGACGUUAGCGGCGAACGGGUGAGUAACACGUGGAUAACCUACCUAUUAGACUGGGAUAACUUCGGGAAACCGGAGCUAAUACCGGAUAAUAUCUUGAACCGCAUGGUUAAGUAGUAAAGAAUGGUUUUGUUGUCCAUUAUAAGUGCGUCGGCGCCGAGUUAGCUAGUUGGUAAGGUACCGGCUUACCAAGGCAACGCUGCGUAGCCGUCCUGAGAGGGUGAGCGGCCACACUGGAACUGAGACACGGUCCAGACUCCUACGGGAGGCAGCAGUAGGGAAGCUGCCGCAAGGGGCGUAAGCCUGACGGAGCAACGCCGCGUGAGUGAUGAAGGUCUUCGGAUCGGAAUACUCUGCUAUUAGGGUAGAACAAAUGUCUACGUAACUAUGCACGUCUGGACGUUACCUAAUCAGAAAGCCACGGCUAACUACGUG